rnacentral:lncRNA from 1 species
GUUUUCCUUGACCGGUACUUAUAAAUUAAACAACAAACAGAUUUGUUUAAAAUGUUGUUCAAUAUUGCACCAGUAUUUAUCAUCUUUUUUCAUGCAUUUACUGCUUAGUGUCUGUAGCUGUAUCAUUGUGUAUCAUUGACCUCAAUAGUUUCUUUUUAUUCAAAGUUGUAAAGGGUUUUUCGUUGACAGGAGUGUUAUAUGUGAUAAAAUAUAAGAAUUAGAAUGUAUUUUUCAUGAAAAACAAAAGUAAAGGUUGAAUGUAUAAAAUUAAGUCUUAAUAUUUUUAUCUCCUGUCAUGUCAAAAAUGUAAACAAAUCACCCCAAGCUUGUUUUUUCUGACUGUUAAUGACACCUUUACACUAAAUCCAUUGAAUGUUGGAUGUGUACUGAUUGAUAAUUAAGUUUUAGAUGCAUGAUUUUUUUAUUAGUUGUUAUUGGCUUCGAACUAGCUGUCAGUAACUGCGAGUACUCACAGAUCUGUACUUAGUGUCUUUUUGUUGUUUACAUGUACAAGUACCCGUGUUUUUGUUAGAUUUAUUUCUAUGUGUAUCGAUCAGACGAGUUAAGCCUUUUCAACUGAUUUUUAUAGUUUGUUCUAAUAUUUGUACUGUUACUGGAGGUUAGGGGAGGGUCGGCUAGUUUAACUCUGCCACAUUCUGUAUGUGCCCGUCCAAAGUCAGGAACCUGUAAUUCAGUUGCUGUCGUUUGUUGCCGUGUUACAUAUUUGUUUUUUUAUAUUAAUUUCUUGAAAAACUUCAUAUGUGAGAGCGCUAACAAUACCAGACAGUCACCUGGUUUUUCUCUGUCCACUGCAAUGUGUCGCAUGGGGACAAAUAAAGGCAACAGCAGUAUACCGCUGUUCAAAAAGCAUAAAUCCAUGGACAAAAAACCAAAUUGGGGUAACAAACUAAAACCGAGGGAAACGCAUUAAAUAUAAGAGGAGAACGACACAACACUGAAAUGUAACACACACAGAAAUGGACCAAGCAUCA